rnacentral:rRNA from 1 species
UCCCUAUGGGGUGCAGCAGGCGCGAAACCUUUACACUGCGCGACAGCGCGAUAGGGGGACUCCGAGUGCGAGGGCAUACAGUCCUCGCUUUUGUACACCGUAAGGUGGUGUACGAAUAAGAACUGGGCAAGACCGGUGCCAGCCGCCGCGGUAAUACCGGCAGUUCAAGUGAUGGCCGCUUUUAUUGGGCCUAAAGCGUUCGUAGCUGGCCAGUCAAGUCUGUCGGGAAAUUCAGUGGCUUAACCACUGGACGUCCGGCGGAAACUGACUGGCUUGGGACCGGGAGAUCCAAGGGGUACGUUCGGGGUAGGAGUGAAAUCCUAUAAUCCUGAACGGACCACCGAUGGCGAAAGCACCUUGGAAGCACGGAUCCGACAGUGAGGAACGAAAGCUGGGGUCUCGAACCGGAUUAGAUACCCGGGUAGUCCCAGCCGUAAACGAUGCUCGCUAGGUAUGGCGCAGGCCAUGAGCCUGCGCUGUGCCGUAGGGAAGCCGUGAAGCGAGCCGCCUGGGAAGUACGUCCGCAAGGAUGAAACUUAAAGGAAUUGGCGGGGGAGCACUACAACCGGAGGAGCCUGCGGUUUAAUUGGAUUCAACGCCGGAA